rnacentral:rRNA from 1 species
UACGAAGGGGGCUAGCGUUGCUCGGAAUGACUGGGCGUAAAGGGCGCGUAGGCGGAUGGUACAGUCAGAUGUGAAAUUCCUGGGCUUAACCUGGGGGCUGCAUUUGAUACGUAUUGUCUAGAGUGAGGAAGAGGGUCGUGGAAUUCCCAGUGUAGAGGUGAAAUUCGUAGAUAUUUGGGAAGAACACCGGUGGCGAGGCGGCGACCUGGUCCUUUACUGACGCUGAGGCGCGAAAGCGUGGGGGAGCAAACAGGAUUGAGAUACCC